ACUCAGAUAGCUCAGUUGGUAGAGUAUGAGACUCUUAAUCUCAGGGCCAUGGGUUUGAGCCCACGCUGUGCA